rnacentral:rRNA from 1 species
CCUACGGGAGCCACCAGUGGGGAAUAUUGCCCAAUGGGCGCAAGCCUGAUGCACCCAUCCCGCGUGUGUGAAGAAGGCCUUCGGGUUGUAAAGCACUUUCAGCGGGGAGGAAGGCGUUAAGGUUAAUAACCUUGGCGAUUGACGU